rnacentral:ncRNA from 1 species
AAUAAAUUUUUUAUGGUUUAAUUAUUUUAUUUUGAAUUCAUUUUACAUGUAAAUUUUAGUGUUGUAUAUUAAUUAUUUUAAUAAUAUUUAAUUUUUUUUUACAGUAAUUAAUUUUAAAAAUUUAAGAAAUUAAGAUUUAGUAAUAUUUAAAUUAAUAACUAAUUUUGUGCCAGCAGUUGCGGUUAUACAAAAAUUAAUUUAAAAUUUUUUGGUUAUUAAUAAUUAAUAAAAAUUAUAAUUUAAAUUAAAAAUUAUUAAGUGAAAUUUUAAUUUUAUAUAAAAUUAUUUUAUAAUUAUGAUUUAGUAAAUUUUAUUAAAAACUAGGAUUAGAUACCCUAUUAUUAAAAAAUUAAGUUUAAUAAUACUAAAAUAGUAGGUAAUUUAUUGAAACUUAAAUAAUUUGGCGGUAUUUUAGUUUAUUUAGAGGAAUCUGUUUAAUAAUUGAUAAUCCACGAAUAAAUUUACUUAAUUUAAUAAUUUUGUAUAUCGUUGUUAAAAAAAUAUUUUUUAAUAAUAAUAAUAUUUAAAAAUUUAAAUUUAAAAUUAAAUCAGAUCAAGAUGCAGAUUAUAAUUAAGAAUGUAAUGGAUUACAAUAAAUUUAUUUAAAUUGGAUUUUAAUAUGAAAAGAUUAAAUGAAAUUGGAUUUAAAUGUAAUUUUAUAAAAUUUUAUAAAAUGAUUAUAAAUUAAAAUAUGUACAUAUUGCCCGUCGCUUUCAUUUAGAAAUUGGAAUAAGUCGUAACAAAGUAGAGGUACUGGAAAGUGUUUCUAGAAAGAU